CCUACGGGGGGCAGCAGUGAGGGAUAUUGGUCAAUGGGGGAAACCCUGAACCAGCAACGCCGCGUGAGGGAAGACGGUUUUCGGAUUGUAAACCUCUGUCCUCUGUGAAGAUAAUGACGGUAGCAGAGGAGGAAGCUCCGGCUAACUACGUGCCAGCAGCCGCGGUAAUACGUAGGGAGCGAGCGUUGUCCGGAUUUACUGGGUGUAAAGGGAGCGUAGACGGCAGCACAAGUCUGGAGUGAAAUGCCGGGGCUUAACCCCGGAACUGCUUUGGAAACUGUGCAGCUAGAGUGCAGGAGAGGUAAGUGGAAUUCCUAGUGUAGCGGUGAAAUGCGUAGAUAUUAGGAGGAACACCAGUGGCGAAGGCGGCUUACUGGACUGUAACUGACGUUGAGGCUCGAAAGCGUGGGGAGCAAACAGGAUUAGAUACCCCGGUAGUC
rnacentral:rRNA from 1 species